GACGAACGUUGGCGGCGUGCUUAACACAUGCAAGUCGAACGGAAAGGCCCUGCUUGCAGGGUACUCGAGUGGCGAACGGGUGAGUAACACGUGGGUGAUCUGCCCUGCACUUCGGGAUAAGCCUGGGAAACUGGGUCUAAUACCGGAUAGGAGCCAUUUUUAGUGUGAUGGUUGGAAAGUUUUUUCGGUGUAGGAUGAGCUCGCGGCCUAUCAGCUUGUUGGUGGGGUAAUGGCCUACCAAGGCGGCGACGGGUAGCCGGCCUGAGAGGGUGGACGGCCACAUUGGGACUGAGAUACGGCCCAGACUCCUACGGGAGGCAGCAGUGGGGAAUAUUGCACAAUGGGCGCAAGCCUGAUGCAGCGACGCCGCGUGGGGGAUGACGGCCUUCGGGUUGUAAACUCCUUUCGCUAGGGACGAAGCUUUUUGUGACGGUACCUAGAUAAGAAGCACCGGCUAACUACGUG
rnacentral:rRNA from 1 species